rnacentral:tRNA from 1 species
GGAGAGGUGGCUCAGCAGUUAAGAGCACUGACUGUUCUUCCAGAGGUCUUGAGUUCAAAUCCCAGCAUCUACA